GACGAACGCUGGCGGCGUGCCUAAUACAUGCAAGUCGAACGCUGAAGAGAGGAGCUUGCUCUUCUUGGAUGAGUUGCGAACGGGUGAGUAACGCGUAGGUAACCUGCCUGGUAGCGGGGGAUAACUAUUGGAAACGAUAGCUAAUACCGCAUAAAAUGGAUUAUCGCAUGAUAAUCCAUUGAAAGGUGCAAAUGCAUCACUACCAGAUGGACCUGCGUUGUAUUAGCUAGUUGGUGGGGUAACGGCUCACCAAGGCGACGAUACAUAGCCGACCUGAGAGGGUGAGCGGCCACACUGGGACUGAGACACGGCCCAGACUCCUACGGGAGGCAGCAGUAGGGAAUCGUCGGCAAGGGACGGAAGUCUGACCGAGAAACGCCGCGUGAGUGAAGAAGGGUGUCGGAUCGUAAAGCUCGGUUGUAAGAGAAGAACGAGUGUGAGAGUGGAAAGUUCACACUGUGACGGUAUCUUACCAGAAAGGAACGGCUAACUACGUG
rnacentral:rRNA from 1 species